GUAAGGUGUGGGCAGGCAGGACCGCCUGCCAGUUUGAGGGUCUCUCUGGGGCCUUGAAGGGCUGUCGUGUCCUCGAGGUGGAGCUCCAGGUUUUCCCUGCUCAGCCUGGCGGUCUGGCUUCCCUCGUCUCGGCCCUUGUGAAGCUACACCCUGGAGACCACCCACGGCCCCGCCAAGGGCCCACCGCCCACCCCCACCUCAGGCCAGGAGACCUCUGCAGCGCAGUCCCUGCUGGCCCCGGUCCUGCCUCCUCCUGUGGCCUUUGGCCCUCCUGUUACAUCCUCGCUCAUGCGUCCUGGGUUCUGCUCAUUCAGUCUUCCAGGUCUUCAUUUGUGAGUGCUCCCCAGGGCUCCACGGUCCUGCUAUGUUUAUCGCGUCAGCCAUUGUGGGCUCUAGACUUCUAGAAACCUGCCCGCUUCACAGGUUCUGGCCUCUCUGAACUCCAGAUCUGUCCCCUCACUGCUCUGUGUGUGCUCCUGCCCUUAGCUCCUGGGGCAGAGGCUGGAGAGGUGCCCCUGCUUGGGUUCCACCCAGGCCCGAGCAGCAAGGAGGGCUGGGAGCACUCCUGUGCUUUUGGCUUCCCUGGUGGCGAAGAAGCCAGCCUCCCUCCCAAACCGCAAGGUGGCCACUCCCCAGACGCGGUACAGGGUCCCGGUGCUCACUGGCUCAGCAUGUGCUCCCGCCUCCCCCCUCCACCUGCGGUGUCACCAAACUGCUAGGCCCUCGGGUCCCUCCCCCUCCACAUCACCCACGUGAGCACCAUCCCUUCCUCCGGGGCAGUGCCUCUGGCACCCACACCUUCCUUUCGCUUGGCCCCUGCCUCCGUGGCUCAUUCCGUCAACAGGCGUGUGCCGAGUGCCGCUGGGUGAAGGCGGAGGUGGGGUUCAGGGCUGCUCUGCGGAACCAGCAGUCUGGCAGGGAGGGCGGACAGGCACCACGGGACACCGGGACACCGGGAGGACCGUUGUCCUGAAGACUUGAGCCAGCCUCCGGGGAGCAUGGGGCCGGGCAGGCAGGGAGGGCCUCCUGGAGGGGCCGAGGGGCAAGUGGUGACAGGUGAGCAGGAGGUCGUCAAGUCCAAGGUGUGAGGGAGUGGGCGGUGGUGAGGGGCCAGCUGAUGUGAGGGGAGGGAGGAAAGAGCAGGCUGGGCUGGGGACGGGGCUGUCGUCACAGGGACUCUGGGCUGGGAGGAGAUGGGGCACGGAGGCUGAAGUUGGUUACCGAGAGAGAGCCUCAUGUGCCCCAGCAGGGGGGCUGGACUUGCAGGGUGCUUAGCUGACAGCCUCAGAGAUGCCGUGUAUGGGGGGGGGGUUGGACGGCGAGCAGCACACAGCCCCUCCCAGGAGGGACAAGGACACGGCAUCCAGCUGCCUGCUUAGCCCAGUGCCCAGCCGGACGUUUCAUUGGCUCCUGCUUAGUUCUGCAAAUGAGGGAGCAGAGGCCUGGGAGCCCCUCAGGAAGAGUCUCUGCCCCUCCCCCAGACUCACCCCACCGUCCACAUGCGUGCCCCCGCUUACACAGUGGGUAGGCUAGUGGGGGCUUCCUGGGAGAAGCACGGGUGCCCCGGGGGCAGCACAGGAGAUGGGCCGCUGGGGACUGAAGAGCAGAGAGGGGGCUCAGCCCUGGAAAGUCCCUGGGAGACGGGGUGUGGGAAGGGGUGCGGGCUAUCAGGCGGGGAGAUCCUUCCUGGAGAAGGUGGCGGAAGGCUGGAGAGGCAUCUGAGGAGCUGCUGUGGACACCGGGGGAGGGGGAGAGGGAAGUGGGGGGGCCGGCCCCCGCCCCUCCCCCAGGCCCAGCCUUUGCACAAAGGCUUCUCUGUGAGUGGCCACGGAAGUGGCCUUGUCAGGAAACACCACGAUCUUGCUUAUUCUGUCUUGCAAGGUCCUUCCCAGUGUCUAACUGAGACCUGUUCUGCUGAAGUACCAGUUCUCUGACCCUGGGCUUGACAUGGCUAGUUUGAGAGGUGCUGAGGCUCCUAGGUCUCCCCCACCCCAGGAAGGAAGGGGCUGACCUCGAUUCCACACCCACUUGCUCACGCGAGCCCUCUCGCAGCCGUCUUCUCUGUCAACCUGCUGCCAGGCCUGGAGUGGUUCUGUCCCCCACUUGGCAAAGCUGCAGUCAGGGCCCCACGAAGGAUGUGUGGGUCACCCCGCGUCACGGGGCUGACCGAAAAGAAGGACUUAUUGCACCCAGCUGGCAUGGGUUCCCUCUGAGAAGCCCUCCUGGAUUGAUCGAAGUGGCAAGACCCCAGCUCCAUCCUGGGCUGCCCGUUACACUCAGAGCCACCCGGGAGAAGACUUCGUCCCACCCUUGCUCCCGUGGCCACCGCUGUCCACCCUGGUCCAUCCCAGUUCCUGUGGCGUCCGAGCUGAGAGUCCUCUGAGAUGGCGGUCCCGUCUGAGUUCUAAUAAAGACUCCUGAAUGUUGAACCAG